rnacentral:lncRNA from 1 species
GCAGUAAUGGCUUCAAUGAAUAACCAAAAAGAAAUUGAGCUCUUUGAGGGCCAAUCUCUUCUGUACAUGCAGCUAUAUGGGCACCUAAGACCUAUGUGUCUUAAGUGGGCUGUUCAACUAGGUAUUCCAGACAUAAUACAGAACCAUGCCAAACCCAUUUCUCUUUCUGACUUGGUCUCUACUCUUCAAAUUCCACCAGCUAACGCUGCUUUUGUGCAGCGGUUCAUGCGCUUCUUGGCACACAAUGGAAUCUUUGAGAUCCAUGAGAGCCAAGAAGAUCAUGAACUAACAUAUGCUCUAACCCCUGCAUCAAAGCUUCUUGUCAAUAGUAGUGAUCAUUGUCUAUCUCCAAUGGUUCUAGCGUUUACCGAUCCACUUCGGAACGUUAAAUACCAUCACUUGGGGGAAUGGAUUCGUGGGGAGGACCCCUCAGUAUUUGAGACAGCCCACGGAACAAGCGCUUGGGGACUUCUUGAGAAAAAUCCUGAAUAUUUUAGUCUCUUCAAUGAGGCUAUGGCAAGUGAUUCCCGAAUAGUAGACUUGGCACUCAAAAAUUGCACUUCAGUUUUUGAGGGGCUAGAUUCCAUGGUGGAUGUUGGUGGUGGAACUGGAACCACGGCCAGAAUUAUCUGUGACGCAUUUCCUAAGUUGAAAUGUGUUGUGCUUGACCUUCCUCAUGUUGUAGAGAACUUGACAGGGACCAAUAAUUUGAGUUUUGUUGGUGGUGACAUGUUCAACUCUAUCCCUCAAGCUGAUGCAGUGCUACUAAAGGUACAAAUAUAUCUUAAUGCCAAUUUGCUGAUUUGAUUUUGAAAGAAUAUUGCCAUCAUACAUAAUUCUUAAUUUUUUUUUUUUCUUUUUUACUUUCUUUGCAGUGGGUUUUACAUAAUUGGACCGACGAAAAUUGCAUAAAGAUCCUGCAAAAGUGUAGAGAUUCUAUUUCAAGCAAAGGCAACAGUGGAAAAGUGAUUAUCAUAGAUGCCGUAAUAAAUGAGAAGCUAGAUGACCCGGAUAUGACACAAACAAAGCUUAGUUUGGACAUUAUUAUGUUGACGAUGAAUGGAAGAGAGAGAACGGAAAAAGAAUGGAAACAACUCUUCAUCGAAGCAGGAUUCAAACACUACAAAAUAUUUCCCAUCUUUGGUUUUAGAUCUCUG